rnacentral:misc_RNA from 1 species
GUGAAUCAUCGAAUUUUUGAGCGCAAAUUGCGCUUCCUGGCAUCCCGGGAAGUAUGCCUGUUUGAGGGUCAGUAUUAACAAAAAAUCGGUUUGGUUGCAAAUUGUGACGUUUCCGGAGUUUGGGCUAUCUUAACUUUUUUGGUUAAGGGGCUUAAAAUUUUGCAUGAUUUUUUCGAACGUAUUUAAAUGAUUUUACGUACGUUUGCGAUAUCGAAUACUAGGUGUGGUCAUCCUCAUGAUUCGCGCCUAUAAUUUUUCAUCAAAAUGACCUCAAAUCAGGUAAGAGUACCCGCUGAACUUA